CCUUGAAGAGAUCAAUGGGAAUGGUCUCAAAGUCGACCUCUUUCUCAACAAGACACACCAGCACACGCUUCGGGGAAGCAUAGGCAGCGCCAUACACCUUUACCACCAUUCUUACUGUUUCAGCGAGAAACCAAGUAUUUAGAUCUCGGUCUGCAGAGUACCCUAGAUUUUGGUUUCUUAGUUCUUAUAGUAGUUAAGGUGUGAUAUGCUCAUGCUUUAAGGUGUGAUAUGCUCAUGCCUAGUGGUCCAAUAAUUGCCCUCUGCACUCCAAAACAGAUAAACUCAUAAGAUUUUUUGCGCACUCAGAUUUUUUGUUCUUUUCUUUUUUGAAGGCUGUGAGUAGCUAGUGAGUAGUAGGUAGGCGGUCACAUGAAGAUAAUUCUUUAACAGGUAAAAGACAAUUAUGAGUGGAUACUGCUUGUCCCCUCCGAAAUGAGAUAAUUCAUUAAAAACACAAAACAAAAACAAAAAUUAUACACACAUCACAUUAUACACGCGUCACAUUAUUGACAAGAAUAUAUAGACUCU
rnacentral:lncRNA from 1 species